rnacentral:rRNA from 1 species
GUCCUAGUCUUAACCAUAAACGUUGCCGACUAGGGAUCGGAGGGGCGUGCGCGAUCCGCCUUCGGCACCUUACGAGAAAUCAAAGUCUUUUGGGUUCUGUGGGUAGUAUGGUCGCAAGGCUGAAACUUAAAGGAAUUGACGGAAGGGCACCACCAGGAGUGGAGCUUGCGGCUCAAUUUGACUCAACACGGGAAAUCUUACCAGGUCCAGACAUAGCGAGGAUUGACAGAUUGAUAGCUCUUUCUUGAUUCUAUGGGUAUUUUGGUGGUGCAUGGCCGUUCUUAGUUCGUGGAGUGAUUCGUCUGGUUAAUUCCGUUAAACGAACGAGACCUCAGCCUGCUAAAUAGUUGCUCGCCUUUUCUGUAAGACUUGACAACUUCUUAGAGGGACUUUGUGUGCAACCACAAGGAAGUUUGAGGCAAUAACAGGUCUGUGAUGCCCUUAGAUGUCCUGGGCCGCACGCGUGCUACACUGAUACGUACAACGAGGUAUAUGUACUUGUACAUCAAUGCUGCU